UACAGAGGGGGCAAGCGUUGUUCGGAAUUACUGGGCGUAAAGCGCGCGUAGGCGGACCUGCAAGUCGGGGGUGAAAGCCCGGGGCUCAACCUCGGAACGGCAUUCGAUACGGGACGGCUGGAGACCGGGAGAGGAGAGUGGAAUAGCCAGUGUAGAGGUGAAAUUCGUAGAUAUUGGCUGGAACACCGGUGGCGAAAGCGGCUCUCUGGCCCCGGUUCUGACGCUGAGG
rnacentral:rRNA from 1 species